rnacentral:rRNA from 1 species
UGGGGAAUAUUGGUCAAUGGGGGAAACCCUGAACCAGCCAUGCCGCGUGGAUGAUGAAGGCCCUAGGGUUGUAAAGUCCUUUCAUCAGUGAAGAUAAUGACGGUAACUGAAGAAGAAGCCCCGGCUAAUUCCGUGCCAGCAGCCGCGGUAAUACGGAAGGGGCUAGCGUUGUUCGGAAUUACUGGGCGUAAAGCGCGCGUAGGCGGAUUGUUAAGUUGGGGGUGAAAUCCCGGGGCUCAACCCCGGAACUGCCUCCAAAACUGGCAGUCUUGAGUUCGAGAGAGGUAAGUGGAAUUCCUAGUGUAGAGGUGAAAUUCGUAGAUAUUAGGAAGAACACCGGUGGCGAAGGCGGCUUACUGGCUCGAUACUGACGCUGAGGCGCGAAAGCGUGGGGAGCAAACAGGAUUAGAUACCCCCGUAGUCC